UGCUCAUGGCAACAAUAUAAUGAAGUUUCCGGUGGUGCAGUGAAAUUCAAAGCUGUGAGCCCAUCUUAUAAAGACAUCCUUGCAUGAAGAUUUCAGUGAGGCUAGUGAGGUAACAUACAUUCAUGUAGCCAGUGAGUGUCAGUAUUGAGCCUAGAUGUGAGUAUUUACAAGCCAAGCUGCACAGGCAGUUUAUACUGUAGACAAUGUUAUAAUGAUCUGCAGACAGGUGUAUGAAAAUGGGAAAGAUCCCAUCAUUCAUUAGCCACCUCCCUUCUUAAUAUGACCAAUCAAGUUACUACAGUGCAUGCAGCAUGAGACUUUCUCUGGUACAUUUUUUUGAUGCAUGUGUAAGGUACUUAAGGUUUUACAGGAGUAGAUAUUCUAAGUUAAGGCUAGAGAGUCCUUGCAAGAAUGUAACAGAUUUCUUUCUGGUUGUAAGUGAAAAUGAGCAAACCAAACUCAAGUUAGCCAUCUCAAUUUUGUUAGAAAUCCAGUAAAUUGAUAGAAUAGCUUUUUUCAUGCAAUUUCAGAAUAUCCUGAGUUUGGUGGAUGCUCAAGGAUCAUUGAUCCCAACUCCUCGCUCCACACACCACUACCCAAAAUCCAAACCCCGUGUCUGAGAGUGUUGUCCAAAUGCUUCUUGAACUCUGGCAUCCUGGGGCCGUGACCACCACCUGUUCCAGGGCCGGAACAGCGCCUUAACCAAGUGUUUGUUCUAAUAAGCUGGAGAACAAAUGCACAGAGCUUUGCAUGUAGGAUGGAUUUACUUUUUUAUUUCAUGUAGUCACAGAAUUGUUUAGGUUGGAAGAGACCUCUAGAGAUAAUGUAGUCCACCCCCCACUGUUAAAGCAGGAUCAGCUAGAGCAUUUUGCACAGGACCAUGUCCAGUCAAGCUCUGAAUAAUUCUACAGAUGGAGACUUCACAGCCUCUCUGGGCAUUCUGUGCCAGUGUUUGAUUGCCUUCACUGUAGGAAUGUUUUCUCGUGAUUGUGGUGGAGCCUCCUCCAGGCUGGACAGACCCAGCUCUCUAAGCCUUUCUUCAUGGGAGAAGUGAUCAAGUCUUAAAUAUCUUCCUGACCCUAUACUGGAUUUGUUCUGGUAAGCCUGUGUUUGUCUGUCUUGUAAAGUCGAGUCAGAACUGGAUGCUUGGGACCAUUGAGGAAGCAGAAAUGACUAUUCAUUUCUUCCACUGUUUUGCAAUUUUUUUAUGUCAGAUAGGGGUAGGCAGUAGUAGUUUAUGAAGCUUUUUUACUCUGUGCCACUUUCCAGAUUGAAAGCAGUGUUUAUUGCUUCUGUUAAAAUGACUCUUAUUUUGCCUGAUAAAUGCUGUCCACAGUUGUGGGACUUGAACGAUUAUUUCCCAUUCCUGAUGAAGAGAGGCAGUUGUGCUAAGAAGCAGGUGGGUCAAAAGUGAGGUCUGUCAGUAGUCCAGAUAAGUCCCAUAUAUUGUCAAGAGAUUUUAAGCUAUUUUGAGUUCAAGGCUUUUGAUAGUGCUGUAUUAUCACUUUCAGGCUAUUUUGAAGGGUAGGGUAUUCACCCAAAGGGAAAAACCACUGUUCAGGUGCCUUCUUGAUUGGCUUACCUUCUUGAUUGGCUUAGGGAAAUGAGUAUGCAUCUUCUGCAUAUGUGCAUGCUGUCAAAAUGUUUGAGGCAAAAUGUGGUGGUUUUAUCAGCCACCAUAGUUCUUAUCGAAGUACCUACUUUUCUCAUAGUAGAAUCCCUGUAAUCAUUCCUUUUGCUGGCUCCACUCUCAAUAGUGGAAAUUUUAAUCACCAUUCCUUAUUAUACUUGAUGCACGUACUUGAUGGCUGGCUCUUGGGACUGGAACAGAGGCACUCUAGCAAGUAGUCCUUUGGGUAGAGUAGACAGAUGUUUGUGGGCAAGGAAAUUGUCUUGUUUCAGGGAAAUUUGUUUUCCACAUCUGGGGCUGCUUUCAUUAUAAUAGCUGGAAGUUGUCAUCUGCUAUUAACAGAGAAAAUUUUUUAUUCUACCUUAGCCAUUUAAGAUCCAGUAGAAGUAUUUUCUUUAGUUUUCUUUUUAAGGAUUUUUUUUAAAUCAAGAUUGUUUUUCUAUGUUUAAGGAAAUAGUGCUGUUUUAUAGAACCAGACCAAUAUUACUAUCUGAGUCUUGUAAUGAAAUGUGAUUAGCUUUUCUUUCUCUUUAAAGGGAAAUCAGAGGAUCAAAACUGGAAGGUAUUGGUUCUCCGUGGUGUAACAGAUGACAACAAGUAUAUAUAGGAUAAACUUUUUUAUUGUGUGGAGACUGGUUAUGUAUGACCCUCUUCCUUGUGCAGCUGUAACAUAGUUGUACCUUUAUUUCAUAUUGUGAGUGAUGUCAAAAGAUGUUUGCAGGACAUCUUCUGAUGUUGUUCAGAAUGUUGGUACUGAUGUAGUUGCCACAGCACGGGACAGCAAAAUGGUUUCUCUCCUUACCCUCUGCUCUAGCAGAGGUAGGCAAUUUAGCACUCUUGGUUCAAAUCUCUGCUUUUCUUUUUGUUUGCUUAUUUUCUUUUGAUCCUAGAUCAUUUUAUUUACCUGUUUCUCUGCAGUCUGUUUCACUCUGUUUCUAGAAAUAUGCCCAGGAAUUUGGUUAAGGACUUCUUAAGAUGGAUUGUUUCCAUAGAUCAGUCAGCCUUCAUCCAACAGCUAUUGCUGUGGUAGGACGCAGCACUAAGAUGUUUGCUCAUCUUUUAAGUGUCCUCCCAAUUUUAAAAGCACAUCAGGUCUCCCAUGUGUACAAACAGAUAUACCAUGUUCCAUCUCAGCCUUUUCUUUAGUAGGAUAAGCCCUGCAAUUCCUUCUAUCUUUUCUCCAGAACAACUUUCCAGAAAUUGGAUCCAUCACUGGGCACUCUACUGCAUUCACAGUUUGAGACGGAAGAAACGCAUUGCCCAAAAAUCUCCAGCUGAGAUCUUCGCUUUCAUCAUCUGUGAGAGCAUCAAAAACCUUGUCAUGAUCAGAACACAUCUGCUACUUCUCCCAUUGCCAGAUGGCUUGUUACCCUGCCAUAAAAAGAAAUCAGGUUAAUUUGUCAAGUCUUGUCAAUACUUGCUGUCUAUGAGGUGCUUGCAUGUGAUCCUGGUUGGGUUUUUUUUUCUGUUUGUUUUUCAAAUACUUGAGGGAACACUGAAAGUGAGCUGGCUAGCUUCAUUAAAAAUAGAGGGGGUGGAAGGAGAGGGGAGGGUAAAAAGAAAAAAAACUCACCAUCUGCUCUUUUUACAGUCAUUUCUGUGAUUCUCAGAAAUGACUGCUUUAAUCAGAUCAGCUUCAGAAUUAUGUUCAUCUAGCCCUGCUAAUUAGGGAUUUAUUUUUUCCCACUUGCCAAGCUUUCCCUAGCAUGAGCUUUACCUAACUAGGUUGAAGUCUUACCUUUAUGUGUUGGUCUUAAUUGUGCUAGCAGCUGCUUAACAUCUGACCCUGUUCCAAAAGGCUGAUGCAAAUCCAAUAUGCAAUGAUUUCAACAGAGAAGCUGUAAUUAAAGGCAAUGCAACCUGGAGGUCUGACCCACAGCCCACACCCGGCUUGGCAUUUGAUCUUGGGCAAGCUACUUCACUCAAUUUGUAGCUUUUACGCUCUGUCUCCGGUCUGUAAAUGGACAUAAUUAUUUCAUCCUUUUCUGCAAAGCACUCAAGGAAUUGCAGUCACCAUUUUUCAGUGGUAAGCAAGAGCUACAGCAGAGUUAAUGCCUUAACUUUAUGCACACAGUAGCAUUAAUUCUUAGCCUGGGAACUGAAUCCACUGCCAGAUACACAUACUUUUUCUUUCAGAGCACAGAUUCCUGGAAGUUAAAGUUUAACUUUGGUAAGGAACACUUUGAAUAAAAACUGUCUACAGUGAUUUAAUCAGUAAUUGUCAGAGUAGGGAAAUAAUCGCAUAAAGUUUAGUGAGUUAUUCAAGAUUACAGUGAUUGGUCAAAACUAUUAAAAUUUAGCAUUGAUUUCCUGUUUCAUACAAUAAAUGCCAUUUUUGUUGUUUCCCUUACCCUAAAUAAUUUAAGUUACUAGGUUUGUCUUUGUGUGUGUGUUGCCUGAAUAAAAG
rnacentral:lncRNA from 1 species